AUUGAACGCUGGCGGCAGGCUUAACACAUGCAAGUCGAGCGGGGGAAGGUAGCUUGCUACCGGACCUAGCGGCGGACGGGUGAGUAAUGCUUAGGAAUCUGCCUAUUAGUGGGGGACAACAUCCCGAAAGGGAUGCUAAGACCGCAUACGUCCUACGGGAGCAAGCAGGGGAUCUUCGGACCUUGCGCUAAUAGAUGAGCCUAAGUCGGAUUAGAUAGUUGGUGGGGUAAAGGCCUACCAAGGCGACGAUCUGUAGCGGGUCGGAGAGGAUGAUCCGCAACACUGGGACUGGGACACGGCCCAGACUCCGACGGGAGGCAGCAGUGGGGGAUAUUGGACAAGGGGGGGAACCCUGAUCCAGCCAUGCCGCGUGUGUGAAGAAGGCCUUAUGGUUGUAAAGCACUUGAAGCGAGGAGGAGGCUACUCUAGUUAAUACCUAGGGAUAGUGGACGUUACUCGCAGAAUAAGCACCGGCUAACUCUGUGCCAGCAGCCGCGGUAA
rnacentral:rRNA from 1 species